rnacentral:rRNA from 1 species
AUUGAACGCUGGCGGCAGGCCUAACACAUGCAAGUCGAGCGAGCGGCGGACGGGUGAGUAAUGUCUGGGAAACUGCCUGCUGGCUGGGGAUCACUACUGGAAACGGUAGCUAAUACCUCUUACCAUCAGAUGUGCCCAGAUGGGAUGAGCUAGUAGGUGGGGUAACGGCUCACCUAGGCGACGAUCCCUAGCUGGUCUGAGAGGAUGACCAGCCACAAUGGAGCUGAGACAUGGCCCAGACUCCUACGGGAGGCAGCAAUGAGUAAGAGGGGGCAAUGGGCGUAAGCCUGAACCAGCCAAGUAGCGUGCAGGACGCCGGCCUAUGGGUUGAAAACUGCUUUUAGCGGGGAUAAGGUACCGCAUGAAUAAGGACCGGCUAAUUCCGUGCCAGCAGCCGCGGUAAUUC